GGAUGGGAAUGGGAUGGACUGGGAUGGAGAUGGGAUGGGGUGGGGUGGGAAUGGAAUGCACUGGGAUGGGAUGGGAUGGACUGGGAUGGAGAUGGGAUGGACUGGGAUGGACUGCGAUGGAGAUGGGAUGGACUGGGAUGGGAUGGGAUGGACUGGGAUAGACUGGGAUGGAGAUGGGAUGGACUGAGAUGGACUGGGAUGGACUGGGAUGGGAUGGAGAUGGACUGGGAUGGACUGGGAUGGACUGGGAUGGGACUGGGAUGGAGUGGGAUGGGAAUGGGAUGGGAUGGGAUGGACUGGGAUGGACUGGGAUGGGAUGGAGAUGGACUGGGAUGGACUGGGAUGGGAUGGGAUGGGAUGGGAUGGGGUGGGAUGGGGUGGACUGGGAUGGACUGGGAUGGAGAUGGGAUGGGGUGGGGUGGGAUGGAGCUGGGAUGGACUGGGAUGGGAAUGGGAUGGACUGCGAUUGACUGGGGUGGGAAUGGGAUGGACUGGGAUGGACUGGGAUGGAGAUGGGAUGGAGAUGGGAUGGGGUGGGGUGGGAAUGGGAUGGACUGGGAUGGAGAUGGGAUGGGAUGGGGUGGGAUGGGAUGGGAUGGACUGGGAUGGAGAUGGGAUGGAGAUGGGAUGGACUGCGAUGGGAUGGGGUGGGAUGGGGUGGACUGGGAUGGAAUGGGAUGGACUGAGAUGGACUGGGAUGGAAUGGGAUGGGAUGGGAUGGG
rnacentral:lncRNA from 1 species